rnacentral:rRNA from 1 species
UACGUAGGGUGCAAGCGUUAAUCGGAAUUACUGGGCGUAAAGCGUGCGCAGGCGGUUUUGUAAGUCUGUCGUGAAAGCCCCGGGCUCAACCUGGGAAUGGCGAUGGAGACUGCAAGGCUAGAGUGUGUCAGAGGGGGGGUAGAAUUCCACGUGUAGCAGUGAAAUGCGUAGAGAUGUGGAGGAACACCGAUGGCGAAGGCAGCCCCCCUGGGAUAACACUGACGCUCAUGCACGAAAGCGUGGGGAGCAAAC